rnacentral:tRNA from 1 species
UGGGGCAUAGCCAAGCGGUAAGGCAACAGACUUUGACUCUGUCACCCGUGGGUUCAAAUCCCGCUGCCCCAACCA